rnacentral:lncRNA from 1 species
UCAAUAACAACUGAUUACAAAACUCUUGUAACCAAGAACUAGGAAUUAUAAACUCUAAUUCCUAUACCUCAAUAACUAGGAAUCAUAAACUUUAAUUCUUAUAAUUCAAUAACUAGGAAUCAUAAACUCUAAUUCCUAUAACUCAACAAUCACCUUGACUGUUGAACCCACUUCGAGUUAUCCCAAACUUGAAGUUAACUCAGCUCAGUAUUGUUCCUAAACAAUCAAUCUAGGAAAGCAAUAAAUUACAACUCAAUAAGAACAAUAUAUUUAAACUAACUCAUGAACUGUAAAGUUCUGUCCUGUGAAACAGGUUCGUCAAUCUGUUCCUUUGUACUGGCAGCAAUCGAAUCUUUAGUCAGAAUUCUCUCAAUUAUGAACUUUCUCAAUUUGCUAGUGUUUAGCCUUUUCUCUCUGUUAGUGCGCAAGUUAUUCCAAAUAAUACAUCUUCUAUUUAAGCACAGCUCUCCAAAGAGUCAUUUUUUAUUUCAAACUCCUCUUUUAAUCAGAACUCUCAUUUCAUAGAGUUCUACUUCAAGUGAACUCCUUCUUCAAUUCCAACUCUUAUCUCCUUAGUGUUGUAUUCAAACUCCAACACUUUAAAUCAAUUUAUCUUCAAGUAUUUUACUCAACCACAAACUUCUUCAAUUUCUCACGUGAUAAGUAACUUGAGUAUAUCAGAAUUAGACUCGCUCAUUCAUUCCUGACUUUAAGCAAUCUUUGUCUGCAUCUAUCAGUGAAACCUGAAACCUGUCUUCCUAUGCUUGAACCAACUCAAGUAACAUGGUCCAUUCAUGUGUCAGUCAUCAAAAACUUUAUUGAUCUAACAAAAAGUCCUUCAAUUUGUAUAUUUCCUAUCUUUCGUAGACUUCUUCAAUCUGCAGAAUAUUUCUCCUUCUAUACAUAAGACUCUUCAGGAUAUACUCAGAAGUGAAACUCCUUCUUUACAUAGGAUUCCUUUUUCAACUCAACUUGCUUUCCCUUAUCAUCAAGUGUUUGAAUCAAAUUCAACUUCUUCAAAUUAACACAUGUUUAUUUUCUUGAGUUUAUCAGAAUUAACCACUCAUUUGGUUCUUGAUUUCUUCCACCCUUGUCUUUAAUCAUCGAUGAUUUUGCUACAAGUUUCAGCUACAUGAGAUAGUGCGUCUGUGAACCAGCUUAACUGACAUGUUUCAUAUCACUUUGUCAGUUUAUCAAUCAUCAAAACUAUAUCGUACCCAACAACAUGUAUAGUAGUUUAAAGUAGUAAAUUAAAGAAAAAGUAGUAGAGCUAAUGCUUAAUUAAAAAGAGAUGGACCAACUUAACAUCACAUUACAUGACAUGCAAACAUUAAGAUCGAAUGGGCUAGUAUAUUAUAGUUUAUGUCAAAGAUACUAUGUUAAAAAUGCUAAGUAACUAAGAUACUAGCAUUAAUUAUUAAUUAACUUUCUUGGUGAUCAUUCCGUGGGAUACCUGGGCAAAUGAAAUGUUUCCACAGCCAUAUAAACAAGCAAAUAUACCUACAAUAUCAUAGUGAUACUAAUAUACAAGGUAAUAUGUUGCUAAGAAUAUAAUGUGAGAUUAUGAUAAUUUUGAAACCAAAUGAUAUAAUAUAAUUAUUAUCUGAACCAUGCAUGAUUAGAAAUUUACUUUAAACAAUUAUAUCUUAUCCUUUAAAUUUAACCUUUUCAUGUGUCACUAAUCCACAUAAGAAGACAAGAGAAAUAGAGAGGAGUCAGGAUUCACACUUAUUUAGGAAUAAAACUAAAACUCAAAAUGAGCAAAGAACGAAGAUAGUGUUGGGAAACAAUAGUAAAUAUCAUUAUCAAUUGAAAAUAAAUGUGUUAGGAAAGACGGGCACACAAUCAAAGAGCCCGACAGCGUAGCAGCGGAAAAUACCCAAGACUAAACUUUCUCUUUUAACUUGAACCAAGAGGAGACAAAUAAACCCAAGCAAAAUAGAGUAAUAUACAAUAAAUAAAUCAACCAAAUGAAACAAGAUAAGAAUAAAGGCAAUCACGCGACACACAAGAUUUACGUGGAAAACCCUUCAGUGUGAAAAGUAAAAAAUCACAGGACCAAAACCACCACUAUAAUCACCAAAGAUUUACAAUAUUGUCCUCCAAAAUGGCCACAAAACAAGUGUCAAACAACAAGAAACAAUACAUAAACUACAGCACCAAACACUAGAGAAAUAAAUGAGUGAAAGCACCAAAAACUCAGCUACUGUUCAGGAAUGAAGAACAGGAGCUACAGGCCACCAAAUCAAGAUCCGUCAGUUCCUAAUCAAAGAUUGAGAUUAGAGGAACAAGCAAUCCAAAAAUCAGCUCAAUCGGACAAGAAAUAAAGCGGGAAUCGCAAUUUGAAGUUGACAGCUAUGGCUGAAAUUUAGGUGCGAAAAUCAGCUUUGUUUUUCUCUCUUUGACUGCUGAAGACUCUCUUUUUGUGAUGGUGAAUAAGACCUAAAAAGAUCAAUAUAUAUUCCCCAUAGUAACGGGGCUAUGGGCAAAAGUGGGUUGGUCCAAAUUGGGUUUCAUUUUAUCCACAUAGAAAGGGAUAAAGGCCCAUGACCCAACAAAAUGAACUGCAGCAAUAAUAAUAAUUCUUCUAUAGUAGUAUCAACAAGUUACAAUAAUAAUAAUAACAACAACAAUAAUAAUAGUAAUGAUAAUGAUAAUAAUAAUAAUAAUAAUAAUAAUACUUAAAUCACUAUUAUAAUAUUUUAAGUAACAUAUAAAAUACUCGAGUCGUGUUAGACACUGUCUUAAGAAACUAUUUUCAUAAUGUGAAAUGUUUCUUCAGAAUUAAACAAACACUUCCCUGGUUAAUUAGAGGAUAUUCUGAGUUAAAUAAAUCUUUUCUAAUUAAUCAGAGAAUACAAAAAUCAACAAAAUUAUUAAUACAAAUAUCAACAAGUUAAACUAAAUUAUAGAACUCUUUAAUAAAUUAUAUAAUAAUAUAAUAAGGAUGAAAGAAGAAAAUUGAGGGAGUUGAAAAUUAAAG